rnacentral:rRNA from 1 species
UGGCGGACGGGUGAGUAAUGUAUCGGAACGUACCUUUCAGUGGGGGAUAACGUAGCGAAAGUUACGCUAAUACCGCAUAUUCUGUGAGCAGGAAAGCAGGGGAUCGCAAGACCUUGCGCUGAUUGAGCGGCCGAUAUCAGAUUAGCUAGUUGGUGAGGUAAAGGCUCACCAAGGCGACGAUCUGUAGCGGGUCUGAGAGGAUGAUCCGCCACACUGGAACCGAGACACGGUCCAGACUCCUACGGGAGGCAGCAGUGGGGAAUUUUGGACAAUGGGGGAAACCCUGGUCCAGCCAUGCCGCGUGAGUGAAGAAGGCCUUCGGGUUGUAAAGCUCUUUCGGCCGGGAAGAAAUCGUAUCAGCUAAUACCUGGUGCGGAUGACGGUACCGGCAUAAGAAGCACCGGCUAACUACGUGCCAGCAGCCGCGGUAAU